UACGUAGGGGGCUAGCGUUGUCCGGAAUCAUUGGGCGUAAAGCGCGUGUAGGCGGCCCGGUAAGUCCGCUGUGAAAGUCCAGGGCUCAACCCUGGGAUGCCGGUGGAUACUGUCGGGCUCGAGUCCGGAAGAGGCGAGUGGAAUCCUGGUGUAGCGGUGAAAUGCGCAGAUAUCAGGAGGAACACCGAUGGCGAAGGCAGCUCGCUGGGACGUGACUGACGCUGAGACGCGAAAGCGUGGGGAGCAAACAGG
rnacentral:rRNA from 1 species